rnacentral:rRNA from 1 species
UACGUAGGGGGCGAGCGUUGUCCGGAUUUAUUGGGCGUAAAGAGCGCGUAGGCGGUGCGAUAAGUCCGUGGUGAAAUCUCCCGGCUCAACUGGGAGGGUGCCAAGGAGACUGUCGUGCUGGAGGACGGCAGAGGAAGGUGGAAUUCCCGGUGUAGUGGUGAAAUGCGUAGAGAUCGGGAGGAACACCAGUGGCGAAAGCGGCCUUCUGGGCCGGUCCUGACGCUGAGGCGCGAAAGCGUGGGGAGCGAAC